CCAAGUGUUAAUGUCACCACCAUGAAUGUAGAAGUUAUAUAGUCUACCAAGUGUUAAUGUCACCACCAUGAAUGUAGAAGUUAUAUAGUCUACCAAGUGUUAAUGUCACCACCAUGAAUGUAGAAGUUAUAUAGUCUACCAAGUGUUAAUGUCACCACCAUGAAUGUAGAAGUUAUAUAGUCUACCAAGUGUUAAUUUCUAUCCUACUGUGUUACUUGUGAGUUGAUGUGAUGUCAUUGAUGAUUUCUAACAGAUUUCCACACAGUGGAGUCCCUGCAGAUUGUGAAAAAACAGGAUGUGUCACACCCAAACAGCUCUUUGCUGUACGCCCAGACUUAACACUAAGUCACACAAGACAAGUUUGUAUCAGUGGAAAAAAAAACUAGCAUUUAACAACAGACAAUUCUCUAAGUAAAAAAAACAGUAUAGCAUGUCUAAUUUGUAAUUUACUACCACACCUGUUGAGUUGACUUGGGUAACAGACCUCUAGCUUCUACAACACAGAAAGUUAGAGGCGACUUUCCCAAGUCAGUCACUGACAAUUGGGUAAGAUAUUAUAGGACACUAUGUGUAACUUCUGCUCUGCCAGCAGUUUCCUGUGGAGUUUUUCUGAUGUCAGUGUUUCCUUUAGGAAGGCGGGUUUAACUGAUCUGAUUUGCUUAACAGUUUGCCACAUAAUUGAAGUAAGGAAGUAAUGAGAUAGAAGUCAUAUAGCCUAGCAGUAUUUCUCACUCUUCAGUCCUCUCUUCAUGACAGUAGACUUGUUUCGCUCAGUGGAGCCCCAGUUAGAGAAAGAUAUGAUACCUGCAGUGAUAUUGGUGAUCCUGUUCUGGAGCACAGGUAUGUUUCGAAAUUGUAAGAUAUAUUACAAUUUGUGCGGCUAGUAAAAUAACAUACAACUGGAAGCAGACAGUAAAAAUGUGUCUCAAAGCAGAACAAUGAUGCGAUCACCUGUAAAUGUACUUUACUGUAGUCUUACUGUCCAUCUGGGGACAGGCACUAAUAUAAGUUAAGGUGUGAUGGUCAGUCUUAUUAGAACCAAGGUAAGACCCAAAUGCAGACAACAGGUUUCAGGCAAAGACAGGUCAAGGCAGGCAGGGGUCAAUAGUCCAGAGUCAGGGGGCAAAGGUACAGGACGGCAGGCAUCCUCAGGGUAGGCAGAGAUCUGUAAUCCAGAAGAGGGCAGAGGUACAGAUCAGCAAGCAGGCUCAGGGUCAGGCAGGCAGAGUGGUCAGGCAGGUGGACUCAGAGUCAGGACAGGCAGAGUGGUCAGGCAGGUGGGCUCAGAGUCAGGACAGGCAGAGUGGUCAGGCAGGUGGGCUCAGAGUCAGGACAGGCAGAGUGGUCAGGCAGGUGGGCUCAGAUUCAGGACAGGCAGAGUGGUCAGGCAGGUGGGCUCAGAUUCAGGACAGGCAGAGCGGUCAGGCAGGCGGGCUCAGAGUCAGGGCAGGCAGAGUGGUCAGGCAGGCGGGCUCAGAGUCAGGGCAGGCAGAGCGGUCAGGCAGGCGGGCUCAGAGUCAGGGCAGGCAGAGUGGUCAGGCAGGGGGCUCAGAGUCAGGGCAGGCAGAGUGGUCAGGCAGGCGGGCUCAG